GCCAUUGCACUCCAGCCUGGGCGACAAGAGCAAAACUCGGUCUCAAAAAAAUAAAUAAAUAAAAAUACUAGUCCUAAGGUCUGUUGCAGAUGGGCGAUAGCGAAAUGAGUGGAAAUUAAUAUGGAGAGACCCACUAGUAGAAGAUUGCUGUGUUCUUGAAGCGUAUCAAGGCCAAAGCAAUUAAAUUAGGCAAUCCUUUGAAAUAUAUGGCCCCAUAGGCUAGAAUUCAUUAAAGGUAGGAUUUACUGAUGGGGAAGAAUGAUAAUUUUCAUAAGGAAUGGCUGUGCUACCUAUGAAAUUGUAAGAGAUUUUUUUUUCUUCCACUGGCCCCUAUCCACAACCCAGGAAAUUCCUCUUCGUUUUAUCAUCUAGCAAACAGGUACUGGUGCCAGGGCAUUACGCUGGGUACAAGAUAUGCGGUGAUGAGCAGAAAAGAUGCUGUCUGUGCUCACAUGGAGCUUCCGGUCUUUAACAAUCAGUCAGAACUGUGUCAUUCCAGAUGUGGUAAGUGCUUGUGAAGGAAAUCGUGACUACUCAGGAGGAUUUCAUAAGAGAGGUUAACGGGUGGAGAAUGAAGGUGGGAGAGCACAUUCUUAACGGAAGUGACAGCAAAGAUCCUAAGAUAAGAGGCAGCCAGAACUGGGAAAUCGAAAAGACCAGUGUGGCUGAAUUAUGUGCAUUGUAAGCAAAGAGUGAUUUGGUUAUAUUUACAUUUUUAAAAGAUGAUGGUAAUGUUUUCACAACUUGGCUAGUCAGUGUGUGAAUGUUCAUUUUGUUAACAUGCUUUAUGGUGUGCAUAUUUAUAUAUUAUUUUGCUUUGGCGUUUGUGAACUAUGUCAUAAUAUUUGUAAUUUUUUUUUUGAAAGAGUCUUGCUUUGUUGCCCAGGCUGGAGUGCAGUGGCACGAUCUCAGCUCACUGCAGUCUUCGCCUCCCAGGUUCAGGUGACCCUCCUGCCUCAGCCCACCUAGUAGCUGGGAUUACGGGCACGCAUCACCAUGCCCGGCUAAUUUUCGUAUUUUUAAUAGAGACGGGGUUUCACCAUGUUGGCCAGGCUGGUCUCGAACUCCUGACCUCAGGUGAUCCACUCGCCUCAGCCUCCCAAAGUGCUGGGAUUACAAGGUGUGAGACACCGCACCCAGCCAAUAUUUGUAAAUUUUAAGGGAAAAUGCAUCGGAAGAAAUUAGGCGGUAAUUUUUUUGGAGACAGAGUCUCGCUCUGUUGCCCAGGAUGGAGUGCAGUGGUGCCAUCUCGGCUCACUGCAAACUCCGCCUCCCAGGUUCAAGCAAUUCUCAUGCCUCAGCCUCCCAAGUAGCUGGGAUUACAGGUGCAUGACCACGGUCGGCUAACUUUUGUAUUUUUAGUAGAGUCGGGGUUUCAUCAUAUUGACCAGGCGGGUCUCGAACUCCUGACCUCAAGCAAUCUGCCUGCCUCAGCCUCCCAAAGUGCUGGGAUUACAGGCGUGAGCCACCGUGCCCGGCUCAGGAGUGAUCCUAAUGACAGUGACUACUUCUAGAGGGAUAAAGUGGAUGAACCGGAGUGACUUAUGGAUUGUGACAGGCCUUUCAUGGAAGUUGCCAUGGUUCUGCAUCCCUAAACCAAUGAGACACAAUGGCAAGUUUCUCUUCCUACAUCUAUUUCAACCACCAGCUUAACUCCCCUUCCUGAGUGCAGCUAAAGCUGUGGCCAUCAGGCAGGUGAAGCUUGGUGCCUCCUGUUCAACCAACAGGAAUGACUGAAGCAGGCUGGGGGUGGGACCAGCAGUAAGAAGCCCAGAGCAAUGACCAGAGCUCCCUUUCUCUGGAGAGCUGGGCUGGAGAAAAUCUAUGCACUGCUGAUCUCCUAAGGAGAGAGCUUCAAGGGUGAAAAGAUGGUGUCCCACAGGCCUGAGGCUGCACAGAUCUAGCUUUUGCCAUUGAGGACAGCAGGGACAGUAAAGCUUCCCAGAUCCCCUUUCAACCUGCCAGCUGGCAUGUCACCUACCAUAGAGGAAGCCAAUCCUAGACCUUGUACUACUUGAGAGAUUGCAAAAGUAUCCUGUUAGCUGGGUCUGGACCCCAAUGAUAAAUAGACUCAUGAGUGAGCUAAGGAAGGGAACUGGCCCAUCUAAAAGGAACCGGCCCAAGGAAAAGCAGGAAUCUAUGAAGGCAUUCAAUAACUUGGACCAAAAAGGAACAAGAAGGUAAAAUUGAAUACUUGGGUGAUGGUUACACUAAAAACCUAGAUUUCCCCACUACAAGAUAUAUCCAUGUAACAAAACUGCACUUGUACCCCUUAAAUUUAUAUACUUAAAUAAAAUAAAAUAGAAGAGA